rnacentral:piRNA from 1 species
UAGGAAGUGUCCCAGUCUGAUGUAACUGC